UUUAAAUAAGGAAGAGUUUGUGGUGGAUGCCUUGG
rnacentral:rRNA from 1 species